rnacentral:rRNA from 1 species
UACGUAGGGCGCAAGCGUUGUCCGGAAUUAUUGGGCGUAAAGAGCUCGUAGGCGGUCUGUCGCGUCUGCCGUGAAAACCCGAGGCUUAACCUCGGGCUGGCAGUGGAUACGGGCAGACUAGAGGCAGGUAGGGGAGAAUGGAAUUCCCGGUGUAGCGGUGAAAUGCGCAGAUAUCGGGAGGAACACCGGUGGCGAAGGCGGUUCUCUGGGCCUGACCUGACGCUGAGGAGCGAAAGCGUGGGGAGCGAACAGG